CGCCGCCUCUCGCCCUCCUCAUCCCGCCGGAGCACGCCUGCCUCCCUUCCUUUUCUACACCCAUAGACCUCCUCCUCCCCGUCCUCUCUGCUGCUGGAUUGGCGCGGGCUGGGAUUCCGUCGGAGACGCGCUUCCUUCUGUCGCAAUUCGCCGCACAGAGGGAGUCUGGGAUUUUCCUUGUAAAUUGAGCUUUGGCACUCUUGGAUUGGAUGGAGUUCUCAUCAAGUGAAGAAGAUGGGCUCGUUGAAGAUUUCAUAGAUGUUGAGGAUGAUACCGGCACCGCUGAUGCUGAUCAAGCUGUGGUGACUUCCCAGACUAAUUGCAUCGACCAUUCUGAUGGAUCCAUGUUGACCCCUGGAGAUGAGCUGCUUGUGGCAGCUGAUGAGCUGGUAAAAAACGGCGAGCCAUGCUUGGGCAUGGAAUUUGAGUCCGACGCAGCUGCGCGUGCAUUCUACAGUGCGUAUGCCCUACGCCUCGGGUUCGGCAUCCGUGUUGCCCGAUCCCGCACCGAGCGGCGAAAAGGUAUCGAGGUGCUCGUCACGAAGCGCUUUGUGUGCAUGAAAGAGGGACAUCACAAGAAGAAUGAUGUUGAAUCUAGCGACAAGAAGAGGAGGAAGCGCCUCUCUAUACGGGACGGCUGCCCAGCGAUGAUGGAGGUGGUGUGGAGAAGGCAAGAAAAGUGGGUCAUCACAAAGUUGGUGCUGGAGCACACUCAUGUUAUUGUUAGCCCAGACAAGGUGCGGGAGGUCCAGCUCCGUCGCCUCUGUGGGAAGGAGCAUGCCGAUCAGUUGCAGGAGGUGCGGAGGGAUGUGUUCGGUGACACUGAUGCACGUGGUCUCUUCACGUACUUCAUGAGAAAGCAGUCGGAGAACUCUGGUUUUUUCUAUAACAUACAAGUUGACAGUAGAAACUGCUUGAGGAGUGCAGUCUGGGUUGAUGCAAGAGCUAGAAUGGCAUACAAAUACUUUGGAGAUGCUGUUUACUUCGACACCACUCAUAGUAAAAAUGAGAAUAUGUUGCCUUUUGCAGCUUUCACAGGCGUGAAUCACCAUGGUGACAGUGUUGUUUUUGGUUGUGCGCUGGUCUUGGAUAAGACGGAAUCUUCUUAUGCUUGGAUUUUUGAUACAUGGCUGACAGCAAUGGAUAAGAGAUUGCCGUUUUCGUUUACAACAGAUGAAGGCAGAGCAAUGACAGAGGCAGUUGCCAAGGUAUUUCCUCAAUGUUUCCAUCGGCUUUGUAGAUGGCGAGUUCUUUCUAGAUGCAAGACGAAAUUGUCGGAUGUCUACAUGAGAUUUCCUGGGCUACAUAUCGAGUUAAAGAGAUGUGUCAACGAGUGUGAUACCAUGCCUGCUUUUGACAUGUUCUGGGGUUCUAUUCUCGACAGGUAUGGCCUGAGGGAGAACACUUGGUUGGGGUCACUAUUUGAAGCAAGACAUAAAUGGGUUCCUGCAUACCUAACAAGCUCCUUCUUUGCAGAGUUGUCACUGACCCGUAGAGCAGAAACGGUCAGUAGGUUUUAUAGAAAUAACUUCACUACAAGAGGGUCCCUCCUUUCUUUUAUCACUAGACUUGAUCAACACAUAGACAGAUUGUAUAUGAAUGAAGCUCAGAAAGAUCUUGCUUCAUUUCCUCCUGAACAACUCCUGAAAACCAAUUCGAUCUUGGAAAAACAAGCAGAGAGCAUCUACACAAGGGCUGCAUUUGAAAUAUUCCAAGCGGAGUUGAUUGAAUCGCUGCAUCACUAUGCUGUUAAGGUUCAGGACGGCCCUUAUGAAGACAAGUACUAUGUCGAAAGACAUAGCGAUCCUCCUACCAGGCACACUGUUGUCUACAAUAUUGCCGAGAAGAAGGCUUGGUGUGACUGCUGCAGGUUUGCUUUCUCGGCGAUAUUGUGCAGACAUGUGCUCGGAGUAUUCAUCCUGGCAGACGUCGACAUGAUUCCGGAGCCAUGCAUCACGAAACGAUGGACGAAAAAGGCAAAGACAGGGCCAGUGUGUGUUGGGCGCAAUCUUGAAGGUGAAAACCAGCACACAAAUUCCUUGACUUGGAGAUUCAAUGAUCUAUUUCGCGAUGCGAUGAAGUGUGCAGAGAAGGGAACUCUAUCAGCAGGCUCCUUCAAAGUUGCAAAAGAAGUACUGCGGAAAGCCUUCAGGGAAAUAGAGAAACUGACCAAUGCUGGUCCCCAGCAAGUUGGCAACAGAUAGCAGCAGUGGGUAGUGGUGUUCAUUGCUGGUUCCAUCUGAACCUGUGAAAUCUGUAGUUCAAAAUUCUGUACUAACGUGAGCAGCAUGGUGGGAGCUAUCGAAGGAAAAUGAACUAACGCCCUAGUCACCGGUUUUUACAGUUUGGCUUCAAACAGUUAUGUACACCCCCGACAGUGGCCUUGAGCAUUGUUACCGAAGGAUGAAAACGAGGCCUAUUUCUGCUGUGGUACCAUGAGCAAGAACUUGCGGCUUGCCACCGUAUCAUGGCAGUGACCAAUGGGCACUUAACCUUGUUACUGUUAAUACAGUCCUGUUGAUCCAGUGUCGACCUAGUGGCUAGUGAUGAGUGCCAUCAGGUGCUGCUGCUCAUGCUGUCACAACACACACAUGCCUGGUUUGCUUUCUCGGCAAUAUUGUGCAGACAUUUGCUGGGAGUAUUCAUCUUGGCCGACGCCGACAUGAUUCUGGAACCAUUCAUCAUGAAGCGAUGGACGAAAAGGCAAAGACAAGGCCAGUGUUUGUUGGGAGCAAUCUGGAAGAUGAGAAGCACCACUCAAAUUCUGUGACUUUGAGGUUCAAUGAUCUAGUUUGCGACGCGAUGAUGUGUGCAGAUAGGGGAACUCUAUCAGCAGGUUCCUUUAAAGUCGUAAAGGAAGUACUGCUCAGAGCCUUCAGGGAGAUAGAUAAACAGACCAAUGCUGGUCGCCAGCAAGUUGGCAACAUAUAGCAGCAGCGGCUAGGCGUGUUCAUUACUGGUUCCAUCUGAACCUGUGAAACCUGUAGUUCUAAUUCUUUUACUAACUUGGGCAGCAUGGUGGGAAGUAUUGAAUGAAAAUGAACUACCGCCCUAAUCGUCGGUUUUUA